GGAGAGAUGCCAGAGCGGUUGAAUGGGGCGGUCUCGAAAACCGUUGACCGCGUAAGCGGUUCGAGGGUUCGAAUCCCUCUCUCUCCG
rnacentral:tRNA from 1 species